UGGAUAGUACAAUAAGAUAGUAUUACCAGAAUAUGCCAUAAGCAUCACUAAGUCAACAUCAUAUCAAUCACUAUAGCAAGCUUUGUGGAUAGCACAACAAACUCAUUAUAAUUUUUGAUAUACUCUAUUGACUUAGUAUGAGCUAAUUAUCAUUAGCUUUAUUAUGCACCAAGAUAGUAUCAAAUCAGUCUCCACAGCAAGCCUUAUGGAUAACACAACAAGCCUACUAUGGAUCUUGACAUAAUACAGGCUUAGCAUGAAGGAAGGCAUGGGUAGUGUUCUUAACACUUCGCCAUUAUGACUUAAUAUAAUUUAAAUGAAAAACUUAGAUCUCAUGCACAUCCUAAAUAUAUAGAAAGGAAUGCAUUAUAUGCAAUUUAAAUUCAAUUCUAACUACCAGCAAGUAAGAGCAUAAAGAGAAAAUCUAAUAGUUAUGGACUUUUAAAAAAUCAUCUGAGCCACAAGAUGAUCUAUGGUUCUAACCCAAGGUAUAUCAUAGAUUGAACCAUCUUAUGGUCAAUCUUAAUGUACCUCUGCUCUUCGAUUAUCUGGUAGUCUAGCCUUCAUCUCCAUGAAGUCUACCAUAAAUAUUUAAUUUUUAUUUAAAAAUAGAAAGAAAUAAUUUUUAUUCAUUCUCAAAUAAUUUUUUUUUAUUAUUUUAUAUUAAUAUGUAAAAAAUUUCAAUCAACAGUUGAGAAUAUACAAAAGAAAGGUUCAGCGAUAAUACAAUGCAUCAGGAGCAUCCAGCCCCUAUUGCAACUCUUGUAGAUACAUUUAUUUAUUCAGCUUAUAGGGAAGCAUUCAUACACACAUCCAUCAUAUGGAUGUACCAUAGUCC
rnacentral:lncRNA from 1 species